rnacentral:rRNA from 1 species
GUAGUGGAUCGUGAAGAUUGCGCACAUUUCUUGGAUGUUAGGAAUAGUAUCAAGGAGAGAGCAGUCUUUAUAUUGGUAAUCAUAUCUCGCUCUUAUAUGUAACCAGUAUGGGAGAGAGGAUUACCGAUUUACUUUGAGUAAAUUAGAGUGUUUAAAGCAACGUCUUGGGGUUUUGAAUAGAUUAGCAUGGGAUAAUAGAAUGAUCAACUCGAAUAGGAUUUUUGAUUGGUUUAACCUGUUCAUGAAUGAAAGAGUGGAUAAUGAUUAAAAGGAGCAGUUGGGGGCAUUUGUAUUUCGUUGCUAGAGGUGAAAUUCUUGGAUUUACGAAAGACAAACCUAUGCGGCGAAAGCAUUUGUCAAGGAUGUUUUCAUUAAUCAAGAACGAAAGUUAGGGGAUCGAAGACGAUUAGAUACCGUCGCGGUCUUAACCAUAAACGAUGCCAACCAGGUCUUUUCAGGAGAACACAUCACUUCGAAGGGAGUGAUUUCAAGGGCUCUUGGAGGUGCCUUGUGAGAAAUCACAAGUGUUUGGGUUCCGGGGGGAGUAUGAUCGCAAGGUUGAAACUUAAAGGAAUUGACGGAGAAGCCCCNC